rnacentral:misc_RNA from 1 species
UCUACUCUUCAAGACGUAAAGCAGAUAAGAUGGUUGUCAUGAAACUGGCUACUGUAUUUUUUAUUGUUACUUCCUUAUAUGCUGCACCGAUCUCAGCAGCAGCGCUUCGAUUCCUUUAUGUGGAUGCCCCUCCACCACUACGCGAUCCGACUGUUUGAGUGGAACCACCAGGAAAGGAUCACAUUGUCCCGAACAACCAGCCCAGCAAACCCAACCAACUCAACCAACUCAACCGACGAAACCCACUCAACCAACACAACCAACUCAACCAACUCAACCAACUCAACCGACACAACCGACGCAACCAAAUCGACGGAUACGCAGACAUGCAACCCAACCAACUCAACCGACACAACCAACUCAACCGACACGACCAACUCAACCGACACAACCAACUGAACCAACACAACCGACACAACCAACUCAACCAACUCAACCAACUCAACCCACACAACCAACUCAACUAACGCAACAAAUUCGACGGGCACGCAGACCACCGACCAAUACAACCAACACAACUAACACAACCAACACAACUAACACAACUAACACAACCAACACAACCAACACAACCAAUACAACCAACACAACCAAUACAACCAACACAACCAACACGACCAACACAACCAAUACAACCAACACAACAAGGGCAAACUCGAUCUGGAAUUUACUAUAAUGGAAAUCGUUGUCAGGAUCCGAAACUUUUAUGACUUAAAAAAUGCUUAACAUUUCAACGAGAAUAAUUCUUAUUAUUUUAUUUUAAUUUUGAAUGCUAUAAGCCAUUCAAACCUAUGUUUCUGUAGCGAUAUCUUCAUGAAAAAAUAUAACACUUCGUGGUAUAUCUGUUAUGAUUUAGUCUCUGAUUUUGACUAGUCCGAACUACAGUUUUAGUUUGAAUUAAAUAUAUUUUCAAUGUUUCGCAAAAGUUUAAAAAUAAACAACUUAAAUUUAUGUGCGCCAUUCAGGUACAGCUAUUGGAUGAACGCAC